rnacentral:tRNA from 1 species
GGACCCGUGGUCUAGCGGUUAGGAUGUCUCCUUCACAGGGAGAAGGUCCCCGGUUCGAAUCCGGGCGGGUCCA